rnacentral:rRNA from 1 species
GCAUCUGUGCAUGCAGCAUAUCAAUAAGCGGAGGAAAAGAAACUAACAAGGAUUCCCCUAGUAACGGCGAGUGAAGCGGGAAGAGCUCAAAUUUGAAAUCUUAAAGGGUUUCCCUUUACGAAUUGUAGUUUAAAGAAGUGUUUUCUGCUGAGGUUUUGGUAAAAGUUCUUUGGAAUAGGACAUCAUAGAGGGUGAGAAUCCCGUAUUUGACCUUUACUUUCAACUUGUGAUACACUCUCAAAGAGUCGGAUUGUUUGGGAAUGCAGUCCAAAAUGGGUGGUAAAUUUCAUCUAAAGCUAAAUAUUGGCGAGAGACCGAUAGCGAACAAGUACCGUGAGGGAAAGAUGAAAAGAACUUUGAAAAGAGAGUUAAACAGUACGUGAAAUUGUCAAAAGGGAAGCGUUUGACACCAGUGUUGUUUUUCUGAAAAUCAAUUAAAGAACUGUUUAUGCUAAGUUGUUUAGACUUUAUCAGCUAACUGUUUAGUUUUGAGCUUUUCUUUAAUGCACUUUUCAGUUAACAAGUCAACAUCAAUUUCUUUUGCUGUAAAAAAGCUUGAGGAAGGUGGCUUGAGAUUCGUCUUAAGUGUUUAUAGCCUCUUGCCUAUGCAGUCGGAGAGAUUGAGGUCUGCAGCGUAGAUCCUUCGGGGCUAAAUGCAUUUGUGCUAAGUUAUAGCAUUUUAUAGACAACUUGUUGACUAUGAUUUGUCUUGUAGCUUACUCGCUUAUGUUAUUUUACCUACGCUUAGGAUGUUGAGUCGUAGAGCACGCAG